rnacentral:rRNA from 1 species
AGAGUUUGAUCCUGGCUCAGGAUGAACGCUGGCGGCGUGCUUAACACAUGCAAGUCGAACGAUGAAGCUUCUCUGUUUGCAGGGGGGUGGAUUAGUGGCGAACGGGUGAGUAUCACGUGAGUAACCUGCCCUUGACUCUGGGAUAAGCCUGGGAAACUGGGUCUAAUACUGGAUAGGACCAUUGGCCGCAUGGUUGGUGGUGGAAAGAUUUUAUCGGUCUUGGAUGGGCUCGCGGCCUAUCAGUUUGACGGUGGGGUAGUGGCCUACCGUGGCUUUGACGGGUAGCCGGCCUGAGAGGGUGACCGGUCACACUGGGACUGAGACACGGCCCAGACUCCUACGGGAGGCAGCAGUGGGGAAUAUUGCACAAUGGGCGCAAGCCUGAUGCAGCGACGCCGCGUGCGGGAUGACGGCCUUCGGGUUGUAAACCGCUUUCAGUACAGAACAAGGGCAUCUUUUGGUGUUUGAGGGUAUGUGCAGAAGAAGCACCGGCUAACUACGUGCCAGCAGCCGCGGUAAUACGUAGGGUGCGAGCGUUAUCCGGAAUUAUUGGGCGUAAAGGGCUCGUAGGCGGUUUGUCACGUCUGCUGUGAAAGCCCGGGGCUUAACUCCGGGUGUGCAGUGGGUACGGGCUUACUGGAGUGCAGUAGGGGAGACUGGAAUUCCUGGUGUAGCGGUGAAAUGCGCAGAUAUCAGGAGGAACACCGAUGGCGAAGGCAGGUCUCUGGGCUGUUACUGACGCUGAGGAGCGAAAGCAUGGGGAGCGAACAGGAUUAGAUACCCUGGUAGUCCAUGCCGUAAACGUUGGGCACUAGGUGUGGGGGACAUUCCACGUUUUCCGCGCCGUAGCUAACGCAUUAAGUGCCCCGCCUGGGGAGUACGGCCGCAAGGCUAAAACUCAAAGGAAUUGACGGGGGCCCGCACAAGCGGCGGAGCAUGCGGAUUAAUUCGAUGCAACGCGAAGAACCUUACCAAGGCUUGACAUGGACUGGAUCGCCGUAGAGAUACGGUUUCCCUUCGGGGCUGGUUUCACAGGUGGUGCAUGGUUGUCGUCAGCUCGUGUCGUGAGAUGUUGGGUUAAGUCCCGCAACGAGCGCAACCCUUGUCCUAUGUUGCCAGCACGUUGUGGUGGGGACUCAUGGGAGACUGCCGGGGUCAACUCGGAGGAAGGUGGGGAUGACGUCAAAUCAUCAUGCCCCUUAUGUCUUGGGCUUCACGCAUGCUACAAUGGCCGGUACAGUGGGUUGCGAUGCCGUGAGGUUUAGCUAAUCCCUAAAAGCCGGUCUCAGUUCGGAUCGAAGUCUGCAACUCGACUUCGUGAAGUUGGAGUCGCUAGUAAUCGCAGAUCAGCAAUGCUGCGGUGAAUACGUUCCCGGGCCUUGUACACACCGCCCGUCAAGUCACGAAAGUUGGUAACACCCGAAGCCCACGGCCCAACCUUUUUGGGGGGAGUGGUCGAAGGUGGGACUGGCGAUUGGGACUAAGUCGUAACAAGGUAGCCGUACCGGAAGGUGCGGCUG